GUAGGUGAACCUGCGGAAGGAUCAUUAUCGCAUAAUCCGAGGAGGGGUCCCGGUCGCGCGCGCCCAGAGCUUGCCAGUCCAUUUGACGGUGCGAGGCGCGCCCCGGCCCCGACUCGGCCAAACCAAAAACCCCCCUGUGCUCCUUCACGGCCGGAGGGCGGCGAUGUCGGCGAGAGCCGCUCGCCCCCCGAAGCCGCAUCGCAACAAACCCGAGUUCAAAAGAAUGUGAAGCGGACCUCGUGCCGCCUAC
rnacentral:misc_RNA from 1 species